rnacentral:lncRNA from 1 species
CCAGGUCGUGGCUUCGCCCAGAGGGGUUGGUGGCUGCGGUGCUGCUCGCUCUCCAUGCGCCGGACCUUCUCGAAAAGAAGCCCCAAGGUCGAGUCGGCAUGAAGGAGAGUCUCGGGUGCCGAAGGCCCUGGGGGCAGGCGGACAGGAACUGGGUAAGGUUCCCAUUCUUCGAACACCUCAGUGUGAUAAGACUCCCAGUCUUCUGAAUGGUACGAUUUCCAGUUAUCUGAGUCCCAUACAUCCUUUCUAGCUAGUAGGUGCGUUGACUUCGGUGGGGGACCUAGGUGCGUCACCUUUGGGUCUCUGAGAUUAACAGGGAUAGGGAUACGGUCUGUCUGACGGUCCAAGAGGCAGUCCCUGCAAUCCCUAUUGACCUUCGUUGGUUCAUGGGGCCG